GACGAACGCUGGCGGCGUGCUUAACACAUGCAAGUCGAACGGAAAGGCCCUGCUUUUGUGGGGUGCUCGAGUGGCGAACGGGUGAGUAACACGUGAGUAACCUGCCCUUGACUUUGGGAUAACUUCAGGAAACUGGGGCUAAUACCGGAUAGGAGCUCCUGCUGCAUGGUGGGGGUUGGAAAGUUUCGGCGGUUGGGGAUGGACUCGCGGCUUAUCAGCUUGUUGGUGGGGUAGUGGCUUACCAAGGGUUUGACGGGUAGCCGGCCUGGGAGGGUGACCGGCCACAUUGGGACUGAGAUACGGCCCAGACUCCUACGGGAGGCAGCAGUGGGGAAUAUUGCCCAAUGGGCGGAAGCCUGAUGCAGCAACGCCGCGUGCGGGAUGACGGCCUUCGGGUUGUAAACCGCUUUCGCCUGUGACGAAGCGUGAGUGACGGUAAUGGGUAAAGAAGCACCGGCUAACUACGUG
rnacentral:rRNA from 1 species